rnacentral:lncRNA from 1 species
UUGCAAUAAGUAACUGUAGAUAGGAAAUUAUUAGUCAUGGUGGAUGAAUGUUCCUGAGAUUUCACGCAAGAAUUUUCUCAUCUGAAUGUUAUUCACAGUUUAUACUGGUGAUUAAGAAGACAAUAUAAAAGAAGAGUGAAUAAAACUACUGAAAAUUCCGGAACUGGCAAAGUGGCAAUAAAUAUAUACAUAAAGAGGUAAUUCAAGUAAACACAUUAAGUCUGGCUAUCAACAUCUCAUGUAGAAAAACAACGACCACGUUGCCCCAAGCUCUACCUGCUGCGCAAACAGCCAGUCCUCCUCCCCCUCUGCUGUCACUCCUGCUGAGGCUAACAGCAACCAUGUGUCAUCCGAGCUCUACUUACGCUCCCUGAUCCUCCUGAGAAGAUCCGCCUGUCUCUGCAAAUCUGUUAGCUGAUUGUCUCCCACCAUUACUAACUGACAAUGUCUAAUACAUUUCCUUACCUUGCCUUCUUAAUAUUCAUAUGCACUGCAAAUGUAGUCUGCACUAAGUGCAACUGGUGAUAUAGCAGAUGGAUAAAACGAAGAGUAUAUAGGUUACAAUAAAAAAAAAAAAACACUGUGUUUUGUCA